AAAAGACUGAUUUCCGAGAGAAAGCAUACUGUUUUCCCCUCCAUGAGCUGGGGCUGGCCAUGCCUAGAGAGAGACAGGGCUAAAACAGCUCAAUUGAGGGCUGUCUGCGACUGACAGUGGACGUCGGAGCAAGUGGGCUAUCUUCAGAGGCAAAACCAUUCAGUGUUCUGGUUGAGUCAGUUUGACACAACACAAAACCCCUACAGGAGUAGGAGGGACAUGCAUUCAUUCAGACCAGUUUAGUCGCAUUCUCACGUUGAACGCAACACGUUGGGAGAGAAGGCAAGGGGAUUAA